rnacentral:rRNA from 1 species
CGUCUGGAAAGGCGCGCGAUACAGGGUGACAGCCCCGUACACAAAAAUGCACAUACUGUGAGCUCGAUGAGUAGGGCGGGACACGUGGUAUCCUGUCUGAAUAUGGGGGGACCAUCCUCCAAGGCUAAAUACUCCUGACUGACCGAUAGUGAACCAGUACCGUGAGGGAAAGGCGAAAAGAACCCCGGCGAGGGGAGUGAAAAAGAACCUGAAACCGUGUACGUACAAGCAGUGGGAGCCUCUUAAUGGGGUGACUGCGUACCUUUUGUAUAAUGGGUCAGCGACUUAUAUUCUGUAGCAAGGUUAACCGAAUAGGGGAGCCGAAGGGAAACCGAGUCUUAACUGGGCGUUAAGUUGCAGGGUAUAGACCCGAAACCCGGUGAUCUAGCCAUGGGCAGGUUGAAGGUUGGGUAACACUAACUGGAGGACCGAACCGACUAAUGUUGAAAAAUUAGCGGAUGACUUGUGGCUGGGGGUGAAAGGCCAAUCAAACCGGGAGAUAGCUGGUUCUCCCCGAAAGCUAUUUAGGUAGCGCCUCGUGAAUUCAUCUCCGGGGGUAGAGCACUGUUUCGGCAAGGGGGUCAUCCCGACUUACCAACCCGAUGCAAACUGCGAAUACCGGAGAAUGUUAUCACGGGAGACACACGGCGGGUGCUAACGUCCGUCGUGAAGAGGGAAACAACCCAGACCGCCAGCUAAGGUCCCAAAGUCAUGGUUAAGUGGGAAACGAUGUGGGAAGGCCCAGACAGCCAGGAUGUUGGCUUAGAAGCAGCCAUCAUUUAAAGAAAGCGUAAUAGCUCACUGGUCGAGUCGGCCUGCGCGGAAGAUGUAACGGGGCUAAACCAUGCACCGAAGCUGCGGCAGCGACACUAUGUGUUGUUGGGUAGGGGAGCGUUCUGU